UACGGAGGAUGCCAAGCGUUAGUCCGGAUUUAUUGGGUUUAAAGGGUGGCGUAGGCGGCUUAUUAAGUCAGGGGUGAAAGACGGUGGCUCAACCAUCGCAGUGCCUUUGAUACUGAUGAGCUUGAAUACACUUGAGGUAGGCGGAAUGUGACAAGUAGCGGUGAAAUGCAUAGAUAUGUCACAGAACACCAAUUGCGAAAGGCAGCUUACUAAGGUGCAAUUGACGCUGAGGCACGAAAGCGUGGGGGAUCAAACAGG
rnacentral:rRNA from 1 species